rnacentral:rRNA from 1 species
CGCUGUCACUCCUACGGGAGGCAGCAGUGGGGAAUAUUGCACAAUGGGCGCAAGCCUGAUGCAGCCAUGCCGCGUGUAUGAAGAAGGCCUUCGGGUUGUAAAGUACUUUCAGCAGUGAGGAAGGUUCAUGCGUUAAUAGCGUAUGGAUUUGACGUUAGCUGCAGAAGAAGCACCGGCUAACUCCGUGCCAGCAGCCGCGGUAAUACGGAGGGUGCGAGCGUUAAUCGGAAUUACUGGGCGUAAAGCGCAUGCAGGUGGUUUGUUAAGUCAGAUGUGAAAGCCCGGGGCUCAACCUCGGAAUUGCAUUUGAAACUGGCAGACUAGAGUACUGUAGAGGGGGUAGAAUUUCAGGUGUAGCGGUGAAAUGCGUAGAGAUCUGAAGGAAUACCGGUGGCGAAGGCGGCCCCCUGGACAGAUACUGACACUCAGAUGCGAAAGCGUGGGGAGCAAACAGGAUUAGAUACCCUGGUAG